UACGUAGGUGGCAAGCGUUGUCCGGAUUUACUGGGCGUAAAGAGCGCGCAGGCGGUCGUUCAAGUCGCGUGUGAAAGCCCCCGGCUCAACUGGGGAGGGUCACGCGAUACUGAUCGACUCGAAGGCAGGAGAGGGUAGUGGAAUUCCCGGUGUAGUGGUGAAAUGCGUAGAUAUGGGAGGAACACCAGUGGCGAAGGCGACUACCUGGCCUGUUCUUGACGCUGAGGCGCGAAAGCUAGGGGAGCAAACGGG
rnacentral:rRNA from 1 species